rnacentral:rRNA from 1 species
AUGAACGCUGGCGGCGUGCCUAAUACAUGCAAGUCGAGCGAACAGACGAGGAGCUUGCUCCUCUGACGUUAGCGGCGGACGGGUGAGUAACACGUGGAUAACCUACCUAUAAGACUGGGAUAACUUCGGGAAACCGGAGCUAAUACCGGAUAAUAUAUUGAACCGCAUGGUUCAAUAGUGAAAGACGGUUUUGCUGUCACUUAUAGAUGGAUCCGCGCCGCAUUAGCUAGUUGGUAAGGUAACGGCUUACCAAGGCAACGAUGCGUAGCCGACCUGAGAGGGUGAUCGGCCACACUGGAACUGAGACACGGUCCAGACUCCUACGGGAGGCAGCAGUAGGGAAUCUUCCGCAAUGGGCGAAAGCCUGACGGAGCAACGCCGCGUGAGUGAUGAAGGUCUUCGGAUCGUAAAACUCUGUUAUUAGGGAAGAACAAAUGUGUAAGUAACUAUGCACGUCUUGACUGUACCUAAUCAGAAAGCCACGGCUAACUACGUG